UUGCAGGUGGUGUAAUGGGCAACAUGCCUGCCUUUGAAGCAGGAGAUUUCCCGGUUCGAGGCCGGGCCUGCAAG
rnacentral:tRNA from 1 species